rnacentral:rRNA from 1 species
GAGACAGAGGGUAGAGGUGGUAGAGUUGAGGGGUGUUUCAGUACCUACGUUCUCUUAGGUUGGAGGAGAUCCCAAAUGCUGCAGGCAGGGUCCCGUCUUAGUCACCCAUACUACCGCUACCGCCUCGUGCUGGCUUAGAGUUCUUCUAGCUAGAUCUCCGAUCCACCCCGUGGUUAUUAGAGUAGCCGUAGGAAGUCCCGUUCGGUCUCGGUUUAAAUCGAAGUUCCUAAUUUACUCCUUCUGUGCGCACUAAACAAGAUUAGGCCACGCCUAGAUCCCAAAGGCGGGGACAACAAAAAGAGAUAAACAGCGUAUGGUACUAUAUGUUGUAGAUGUGAUGAACGUCGUCGAGACACUGUUCAUCGUACUUAGGAAGCUCCUCACGUAGGCACGGUACCAAUCAAAUAAGAAAGAGCCCGGUUUUUAUACCUUUAGAACCUCUUCAUGAUAUAGAUUGGGGGUAGAGACAACUCCUCAUACAUUCAACCCAGAGUACACUGAAUAUGCUCCAACUUCCAGAACUAGUAGCAUAUAAGUUUCAAUGUAAUCUGUGUAAGUAUCAAGGACUACCUUAUUCAAAAGAAAGAGGACUGAAAAGUAAAUAAGAUAACAAUAUGAUCAUAGGUAAUCAAGUGUAGACUUUUUACCGUAAAACAAAUAAAAAAUCUCAACGUCCAUCCACUGACGGCUGAAACGAUGUAACAAUGAUCUAAAAUUCAAGUCAAUUUGAUCCACUGUAAAGACAUGUUCAAAAGCACAUACGCCGUUUAGAAAAAACAGAGGAUAUCAA